rnacentral:rRNA from 1 species
GACGAACGCUGGCGGCGUGCUUAACACAUGCAAGUCGAACGGAAAGGCCCUGCUUUUGUGGGGUGCUCGAGUGGCGAACGGGUGAGUAACACGUGAGUAACCUGCCCUUGACUUUGGGAUAACUUCAGGAAACUGGGGCUAAUACCGGAUAGGAGCUCCUGCUGCAUGGUGGGGGUUGGAAAGUUUCGGCGGUUGGGGAUGGACUCGCGGCUUAUCAGCUUGUUGGUGGGGUAGUGGCUUACCAAGGCUUUGACGGGUAGCCGGCCUGAGAGGGUGACCGGCCACAUUGGGACUGCGAUACGGCCCGAACUCCUACGGGAGGCAGCAGUGGGGAAUAUUGCACAAUGGGCGGAAGCCUGAUGCAGCAACGCCGCGUGCGGGAUGACGGCCUUCGGGUUAUAAACCGCUUUCGCCUGUGACGAAGCGUGAGUGACGGUAAUGGGUAAAGAAGCACCGGCUAACUACGUG